GAUGCACCUGCUUUGGGGAGGUGGCUGGCGAGAAAGAGAGCGAAUGUGGGCCCCGCCCCGUGAGGCAAAGCUCACUUCCUGAUGGAGGAUGGGGCUGUGUGGCCUGAUUCUCUGUGGAGCUCCUGAGUCGAUGCCUCCCACCCAAAAAAUCACAGGUUAAAAGACUGACUCGAAGUGUGGCACAGAAGCUUUCUCUCACUGAAGAACAGUCUCUGACUAGCUGCGCCACUCCAAUACUUCCAGUAACCCAGGUCUCUAAACAUGCAGACUCUGGUAUCCCUGGAUAUAUAGAAAAAUGCCCUAAGACAAAGACAAGAAAACAGUACUCACAAUACAUCUUACCCAGACUCACAAUGAAAUGAAAGUAUCAAGAACAUUUUGGUUUGAAAGGGAUAAGGCAGGAGAAAAGAGAACAAAGGAAGGCCUGGAAGUGAAGGGGUGGCCAAGUUGAAUCUGCUUUUUAUAUGAUUGAAUAAAUUCAGAAUAUUCAAGUGA